ensembl:snRNA U6 U6 spliceosomal RNA
GUACUCACUUUGGCAGCACAUAUACUAAAACUGGGACAAUGCAGAGAAGAUUAGCAUGGCCCCUGAGCAAGGAUGACAUGCAAAUUCAUGAAGCAUCCCUUGUUUAA